AUAUCUCAUAAGUUCCAUUUAUUUCAAGAAAAGUCUAGAAAAUAAAAGAAGAGAAGAAGAGAAACUCUAGACUAGAGAGAAAGACCUACGGAUUUGGAGGAGGAAAGAGCCCAAAACGUCACCAAACAGCCCCAAAGUUUUAGCCGCGCUAGGCGAGCUUCCGAGGCAAGUUUUGGCGAGUUUCGGGAAAGAAAAACAAGUUGGACACAUAAGCGUAGCUAGUAAGGUGCGGCACAGGUAUGUAAAACUAACCGUUCCUUCUUUUGGCAUGUCUUUGGCAUAAGUAUGUAAGGCUUACCCUUUUCUUUCAAGGCAUGAUCCCGAUGUUAUGGUUUCAUAAGUGCUUCCAUAUUUUCUUUGUUUUCAAAAGUUAGGUGUCAAUGGUCCCAAGAGAAUGACUAUUUUUUUCUAUAACCCGUCCAUGUUUUCCAAAAUGUCUAUAGCUUUCCAAGACAAAGGUUUACAGUAUUACAAGCUUUUAUGAUAAUAACGAUAGAUAUGUUUUACAACGACAUUGAUGAUGUCGAGAAUGAGAAUAUGUUAUAAUGGCUAUGAUAAGAACAGAUUCAUGUCUAAAAGGUUCUUGAUAUUACUCUCGUCUUGAUUUUUAAAUAAUAGUCUCAUCUUAUAACAAUUGUUCCUUCAAGGUGAGACAAAGCGGCCAUGAUUAAUCCAUAAUAUAAUCGGAGGUUACCGACCUUCCGUCACUCCGUCACUCCGAUAAAUACACGACUUUCGUUGGGCUCUUGUGCAUGCUGUCUAUAUGUAUAUGUAUAUGUAUAUGGGAGAUAUGGGGAGGUGUAUAUGUGGCGCUAUAGACGCAUUCCCACCUGAUCAGUUGGAGUAAUUUUCAUCCUGGACGCGGGAUGCCCGGAUGCGGGACAUAUGUGGGCGAACCGACGUUGUUCGAUGAUAUGACUUUUAUUUUCUAUGUAUAUGAAAAAGAAAUAUUUUUAAAGAUAAGACAAGCAUGCAUGUCAUUCGGCUUAAAAGGCACUCAUAUGUACAGGUUACUUCUCUACCUUGUGAUAUGUUCUAUAUUUCUACCAUGUUAUUAUUCAUAUUUAUAUUCCUUACUAUGUUACUAUUCAUGACUUACAUACUUAGUACAAAGCUCGUACUGACCCUCUUUUUCUUCGGAGGCUGCAUUUCAUGCCGCGCAGGUACACCCAGAUGAGUAGAAGCUAUUGUAGAAGAUGUUCCAACGGGGUUGGCAACUCCACUUGUUAUGAAGUGCUGCCGAGUCAGAGUUUAUGCGCUAUGAUGUUUCGUUCGAAGUUAGAGACUUUGCAGACAGAGUUGUGGGUAUAGAGUGUCAGCUUUGUAAGCGGCGCCACCAGCUGAUAGGUUAUUAUGAAGUAUGUCACAAGUUGUAUGAGCUGAUGGAUUUUUGGAAAGCAGGAUUUGGGAAGCUUAGUUAUGUUUUUUCAUUUUUAUUUAUGUAAAAUUCUAAAGAGAUUGAGAAUGUAAUAUGAGUUAGCGGGUUCGCUCGGCUCCGAGCACGGGGUCGGGUGCCCAUCACACCCUAUUAAGAUCAGGGUGUGACAGUAUGUCAUGUGUAUCACUGCAUAUACACAAAAUAUAAGUGAUAUACAAGUUAUCUUCAUAUAUGUAUUGAUGUAUCUUGUGUAUAAGUCAUUUCUAUCACGUGUAUAUCAUUAUACAUACAAUGACAUACAUAUGACACAUAAGUGAUACAUACUCUGUAUAUUUUGCA